ensembl:snRNA U6 U6 spliceosomal RNA
GUGCUCAGUUUGGCAGCACAUUUACUAGAAUUGGAACGAUACAGAGAAGAUUAGCAUGG